rnacentral:lncRNA from 1 species
AGAAUCUUCUUUGUGGGAUUCUUGUAGGUAUUGGGAGAGUUGCUGCUACAUCUUUAGGAAAUUUGACUAACCAUGGUUCUGAAGAUUUACCCCUUCCUCCUGGCUGGUCUGUGGACUGGACAAUGAGAGGGAGAAAAUAUUAUAUAGAUCAUAACACAAAUACAACUCACUGGAGCCAUCCUCUUGAGCGAGAAGGACUUCCUCCUGGAUGGGAACGAGUUGAGUCAUCCGAAUUUGGAACCUAUUAUGUAGAUCACACAAAUAAGAAGGCCCAAUACAGGCAUCCCUGUGCUCCUAGUGUACCUCGGUAUGAUCAACCACCUCCUGUCACAUACCAGCCACAGCAAACUGAAAGAAAUCAGUCCCUUCUGGUACCUGCAAAUCCAUAUCAUACUGCAGAAAUUCCUGACUGGCUUCAAGUUUACGCACGAGCCCCUGUGAAGUAAGUACAUUUACAGCACAAAUUUGUUUGAGGAGUGAGUGAAGGGCUGAAUGGAGUCUCUGGGCUGCUCGAUCCAAGUAGUGUGCCAUAUUUUACUCUUAAUAAUAUUCGGCUUCUAAGU